rnacentral:rRNA from 1 species
AGUGAACGCUGGCGGUAGGCCUAACACAUGCAAGUCGAACGGCAGCACAGUAAGAGCUUGCUCUUACGGGUGGCGAGUGGCGGACGGGUGAGGAAUACAUCGGAAUCUACUUUUUCGUGGGGGAUAACGAAGGGAAACUUACGCUAAUACCGCAUACGACCUACGGGUGAAAGCAGGGGAUCUUCGGACCUUGCGCGAUUGAAUGAGCCGAUGUCGGAUUAGCUAGUUGGCGGGGUAAAGGCCCACCAAGGCGACGAUCCGUAGCUGGUCUGAGAGGAUGAUCAGCCACACUGGAACUGAGACACGGUCCAGACUCCUACGGGAGGCAGCAGUGGGGAAUAUUGGACAAUGGGCGCAAGCCUGAUCCAGCAAUACCGCGUGAGUGAAGAAGGCCUUCGGGUUGUAAAGCCCUUUUGUUGGGAAAGAAAAGCAGCAGGUUAAUACCCCGCUGUUCUGACGGUACCCAAAGAAUAAGCACCGGCUAACUUCGUG